AUUUACGAAUGACGUUUAAGACGUAUAUUUUCAAGUGAAUUAUUAAAUAUUUUGAGAUUUUGAGAUGAUAUUUUACAUUUAUAUAUUAUUAUGGGUGUAAGCCGUAAGACUCAUGGAAAGAAGUCUGAUAAAGAAACACAAUCGCCAGUUCUGAAAAUAUUUAAAGAUAUAAUGCACAAGGAAAAUACAGAUCCUGAAAAAGUGAACUUGCUGAAAGACAAGAAGAGAGAAAAAAGGAGAAAAACUCAUCUUGAAUCUCGUCAAAAAUCUGACCAA
rnacentral:misc_RNA from 1 species